UUAUUUUUGUUGAGCGAUGUA
rnacentral:piRNA from 1 species